rnacentral:rRNA from 1 species
GACGAACGCUGGCGGCGUGCCUAAUACAUGCAAGUUGAGCGCUGAAGGUUGGUACUUGUACCGACUGGAUGAGCAGCGAACGGGUGAGUAACGCGUGGGGAAUCUGCCUUUGAGCGGGGGACAACAUUUGGAAACGAAUGCUAAUACCGCAUAAAAACUUUAAACACAAGUUUUAAGUUUGAAAGAUGCAAUUGCAUCACUCAAAGAUGAUCCCGCGUUGUAUUAGCUAGUUGGUGAGGUAAAGGCUCACCAAGGCGAUGAUACAUAGCCGACCUGAGAGGGUGAUCGGCCACAUUGGGACUGAGACACGGCCCAAACUCCUACGGGAGGAAGCAGUAGGGAAUCUUCGGCAAUGGACGAAAGUCUGACCGAGCAACGCCGCGUGAGUGAAGAAGGUUUUCGGAUCGUAAAACUCUGUUGGUAGAGAAGAACGUUGGUGAGAGUGGAAAGCUCAUCAAGUGACGGUAACUACACAGAAAGGGACGGCUAACUACGUG